UUCAAUGGUAACCAAAUGUUGGAUUAAGUACAAAUAGAUUGCUUUAUAAUACUGGGUAUCAGGGCUGUAAUACGCCCUAGUUAAUAUUAAAAUACGCAACUUACGUGACUUUACCCAUGCUGAAGACACUAAAGCUAAGGCACAAACUGGGAUUAGAGACCCCACUAUGCUUAGCCGUAAACUGAGGUAAUUAAAUAACAAAAUUACUCGCCAGAGAACUACUAGCCACUGCUUAAAACUCAAAGGACUUAGUGGUGCCCUAGACCUUCCUAGAGGAGCCUGUUCUAUAAUCGAUAAACCCCGAUACACCUCACCCCUUCUCGCUUCUCAGUCUAUAUACCGCCAUCGUCAGCUCACCCCAACAGGGUUCCAAAGUGAGCAAAAUCAUGAAACCAUAAAAACAUUAGGUCAAGGUGUAGCAUAGGAAGGGGGAAGCAAUGGGCUACAUUUUCUAUGUUAGAACACAACGAAUUGUCUAUUGAAACAAAGACAUGAAGGAGGAUUUAGUAGUAAAUUAAGAAUAGAGAGCUUAAUUGAAAUAGGCAAUAAGGUGCAUACACACCACCUGUCACCCUCCUCAAUAAAGUAACUUCAAAUACCUAAUAAAAAUACUCCAAAAAGAGGAGAAAAGUCGUGACAUGGUAAGUGUACUGGAAAGUGCACUUGGACAAUCAAAAUG
rnacentral:ncRNA from 1 species